ensembl:lncRNA
CGAAGGUUUGAUGUGCUUUUCUAUUUAAAAUGUAAAUUUAUUGGAGACAGUAAAUCAGUACUCACAGCGUGGAAUAGCAGACGUUCAUACAGCCACUUUCUAUUGGUUUGUGUGACACCUGGCAGGUCCCAAGCCAGGGCUAGCUCGAGAACAUUUCUUCGUUCCAGUUCUGUUAAUUCAGCAGUGCCAUCAAGCUAGGACAGAGAAAAAAAAUUAGUAGUCAGUAGUAGGUACUGAUGGCUAUUCAAUCUUGUCUCUAAAUUCAAUAUUUAGUGAAAUAGUAAUUCUUUAAAAUAAUGGUACAAAAAUGCAAACCAGCUGAAUAGUGCUGCGGAUAUCAAUAUCAGGGCAAUCCUCAUUCUGAACUGUAGCUGUUUCAGGUGAGCCCCCAAAAAGGACAUGGAUGAUUGCAGGACUUAUACCAGACACACACGGUCCACCAUGAAUAGGGAUGGGUACCAGUGUCCGGUGCCAUCUGACAUAAACGGUAGUAACCAGACCGAAAAGCAGCGCACAUUUCAGUGUUUUUUUUUUCCUGAGCCAAUUCUAGCCAAUCAUUUUACGUUUCCGAGGAUAGUAGGCGGGGCCAGGUACGUACGUUCUUUUAGAGCAGAGCUACAGGUUAAAAAUGCCCAAGGCGAAGCGAUCAAAGUCUGGCUGUACUUCACAGCAAAAGAUGCAAACUCAGCAGCCUGCAACAAGUGCUUUAAGCUGAUACUGUGAUACUGUCAAAGGAGGUAACACCUCGAAUCUGAUGAAACACCUGGCGACGCAUAGCGUUGCUUUUUAAAGCCGAGAAAUUUGCCGUGUUUGAUAGCUUGCUGCGAGACCUCACACCGUGCACAUCUACUGCGGGUGUGGUGCCUGUUAGCGGACCCGGAGUUAGCAACAUCCCCCCAAAAGAGUAGAGUCCUGGCCCCUAGCCCUGCCAGCGUAGCAGAAAUGAUGAGGAUGAUGAUGGCAGCAGCAGCCGUUCUUCUCUGCAAACAAUACCUUCCAGUUUGCAGCUGACAGGCCCCGCCCACUCUACCUUUGGGGCUUUGUAGAGGGAGAUAAGUGACCUCUGUUGACCCACAAUACUUUCCCGCAAGUCCAUUUGCAGGACUACUGCCUUUCUGGUCUCAUACUUUGAAAGUAACUCGGACUUGUAGAGCCAGGCUGCUCUGGUUGCAUCUUGUUCACAUUUCCACUCUGAAAGAAGUGACUUUUCGUCAUCUUGAUGAGAUGCAUUUUCCUGCACUACC